rnacentral:rRNA from 1 species
GCCGUUACAGCAGCUACCAUGCAAGUCGAGCGGUAGCACAGAGAGCUUGCUCUCGGGUGACGAGCGGCGGACGGGUGAGUAAUGUCUGGGAAACUGCCUGAUGGAGGGGGAUAACUACUGGAAACGGUAGCUAAUACCGCAUAACGUCGCAAGACCAAAGUGGGGGACCUUCGGGCCUCAUGCCAUCAGAUGUGCCCAGAUGGGAUUAGCUAGUAGGUGGGGUAACGGCUCACCUAGGCGACGAUCCCUAGCUGGUCUGAGAGGAUGACCAGCCACACUGGAACUGAGACACGGUCCAGACUCCUACGGGAGGCAGCAGUGGGGAAUAUUGCACAAUGGGCGCAAGCCUGAUGCAGCCAUGCCGCGUGUAUGAAGAAGGCCUUCGGGUUGUAAAGUACUUUCAGCGGGGAGGAAGGCGAUAAGGUUAAUAACCUUGUCGAUUGACGUUACCCGCAGAAGAAGCACCGGCUAACUCCGUGCCAGCAGCCGCGGUAAUACGGAGGGUGCAAGCGUUAAUCGGAAUUACUGGGCGUAAAGCGCACGCAGGCGGUCUGUCAAGUCGGAUGUGAAAUCCCCGGGCUCAACCUGGGAACUGCAUUCGAAACUGGCAGGCUAGAGUCUUGUAGAGGGGGGUAGAAUUCCAGGUGUAGCGGUGAAAUGCGUAGAGAUCUGGAGGAAUACCGGUGGCGAAGGCGGCCCCCUGGACAAAGACUGACGCUCAGGUGCGAAAGCGUGGGGAGCAAACAGGAUUAGAUACCCUGGUAGUCCACGCCGUAAACGAUGUCGAUUUGGAGGUUGUGCCCUUGAGGCGUGGCUUCCGGAGCUAACGCGUUAAAUCGACCGCCUGGGGAGUACGGCCGCAAGGUUAAAACUCAAAUGAAUUGACGGGGGCCCGCACAAGCGGUGGAGCAUGUGGUUUAAUUCGAUGCAACGCGAAGAACCUUACCUGGUCUUGACAUCCACAGAACUUGCCAGAGAUGGCCUUGGUGCCUUCGGGAACUGUGAGACAGUGCUGCAUGGCUGUCGUCAGCUCGUGUUGUGAAAUGUUUGGGUUAAGUCCCGCAACGAGCGCAACCCUUUAUCCC